CAGACCACAUGUUCCCGGUCGUGCAGGCAUGUCCCGGUGGCACUGGGUGGUCCUCGUGAUGGGAGCGUUCCCGACGGAAGAAAACCUAGUAUCCAUGAGGGUACGGCAGGAGAGCGGCUUGGCCUGUGCCUUCGUGUGUGCGCAGUGCACAGCCGCUGCCCCGGCGGAGUCUCCCGGCGCAUCCCUCCCGUCGAGUCCUUCCCACCCCCACUCUGAAACAGCCAGGUUGGAAACAGGUCCUGCGGGGGCUCUGUCACGCUCCCGUCCCGGCUCCGUUCGCGGCCAUCUGCCACGGCCUAAUUCUACUCUGCCGUCUAUCAAACGGCAGCCACAGCCAGCCAGGGCAGGGGAUGCUCUUAAACACUAAAUAAGGCAAAACAACUAAGAAACAGCAAUAACUACAAGAACUAUAAUGAUAACAACACCAUCUGCCUGAAGGUCGUAGAGCUUUGUCCUCUUUCCUAUUGCGAUCAGGAGACAGCGCUGACUGCAGCGAGUUUUUUACCAAAAACUGGAUUGCAAAUUGGACUGAUCACCCUUCUCUGCAAAGGGAUAGAAGAGGAGAAAUCCUGCUUUUCCCCCAGCCUCUUCAUUUCCUUGUAAUCAUCCUUGCGCUGUCCAGUAGACAGAUGAAGUACAUGGGCUACUCCAUCCUUUUUCUUCAGCUCAGCAAGCUGGGGACGAGUCUUUCUCAACACACUGCCUGCUCCUGCCACACCACGUAGUUUCUCUCAUUUCUUGUUUUUGAGAUGCCUGUUCACAUAUAUACAUCUAUCUGCACGCACAUAUGCACAUUUGCACAUUUUCUAUGUACAUUCAGAUUGCCCUAAUUUCUAUUUAUCAUUUCUUCUUGUUUAUGUGUCUUUUGUAAGACCCAGCACUUCGCAGGAUCUCAGGAGAGCCAUGCAGAAAACAGAGAAAAGUCCAUCUUCACCUGCUCAUGUGUGGGCCAGGAUGAUGCACAGCUGAGAUUAACCCUCAUGCAGGUAGAGAGCAGGGAGGUCUUUUAAAUGUGUUGUGUCCUGAGCAAGCUGAAGGACUCAGCUAAACUCUGCAGGAUUACAAAUGUGAACUGACUGCCCCUGCACCAAGGCAUUAUCUCCACCAUACCUCACUUCUUCUGGUUUUCUCGGAAAUCAAUGCUAAAGAUUUGGUAUAAACAUUCCGUACUUCCAUAGCAAAAGAAACAUAAAUAUUUAAGUGAACCUGCUACUGCCAAUCUCUCAAUGUAGUUUUAAAAAUAUUUCUUAAUGCUUGGAAAGAAAUGGAACUGUGGAAUAGAUGGAGGUUUCCUGGAAAGCUUCCAGAAACAGGGAACCUUCCUACUUCUAAUCUACAGUAUCAAUAAUAACGGUGGUUAUGAUGAUGAUGGAGCACCAAAAAAGUGGAUGUAAGGAAGGUCUGAAGAGCCAGGUGAUGAACUGUGCCAUCCAGAGCCAUGUGUUUCCCCUCCCGAUGUCACGUUGCUGCCGUAGGCGCGUUGAGGUCUCGGUGGUGGCAUCUGAAAGUAACCUGCAUUUAAUAUUUACCACUUGCCUUCUUACUCCAAAAAUAGAACAAAACCCCUGCUCUCAGCAAUUUUUCUUGGGAGUAGUCUGAUUUCCAAGGCUGCUCACGGGCAGGGAGCACUGCCUACCAACCUCUCCUUGAGUUAGAAGACACUCACGGCUUCCCACCGCCCCCCUACCCCCGGCUUUUUUUUUUUAAUUGUUUUUCGGUUUUUCCUCCUUAAGCAACUCCUGCCCGGAACCAGGGGGGCAGAGCCUGGCCCCAGGACGGCCCCGGGCGCAGCGCCGGUGGGGCCGGCCGGGAUGCGGGAUGCGGGAUGCGGGACGAUGGGUCUCCUCCGCCGGUGCGGCCGCGACCCCUGGCGGCCGCGCCGGAGCAGCGCCCAGCGCAGCGCAAGUUCCGCGCAAGCCCCGCUCAAACCCAGCGCGGCAGGACGCGGGAAGCGUCAAGUGCGAACAGUUUAGAGGCAAUUGUUCCGGAUCAAAAAUAGCUUGAAAAAAAAAUGUCAUUCUAAAAUGUUUUGCAAGGUAGGGAGUGAGAAGCGAACUUUUCGUGCCUCCCCAGUGGGAAACAAGGCUAUCUGUCUCGUGUAAAUUCAGGUCUGUACAGUAUCUGUGACACGAAAAUAUGAAGGGAAAUGAGCUACUACCUGCUUACUGCAGCUGUUGAGGCAGUCUGGGGCAGCAGUUUCACUCAGGGACAAAUGGUCCUACUAUAGCAAGAGGCAGACUUGAGGUAUUGUCCAGUUUACAGACAUAGACCAGUCAUUUUUUGAAAGUUAAAAUCUAGCGUUUGAAUCAGGAUAAUUAAAUGCCAACAUUUCAUUUUGUUUCACUUGUCAUGUACUCAGAGUGGUGGCUAAGAAAGGUGUAGAGCACAGGUAAGUCAGGCAAUAAGCAAAACAAACCCUCAGUCAGAACAAGCACUGUCCCACUGUCUCCACCCUGCAGAGAUGUUCCAGCAGCAGGAUCUUCCAACUGAGAGAAGCAGAGGAGAAGCAACGUGUCUGGUGCUUCAAGGCCUACUGCACAGCAAUGACUGCCACAGGCAGGAAAGUGGAUGAGCCAGCCAGCAAGAUAAUAUAUGGUCAGCCUACUAAUAUUUGUGGAUAAAAUGAAAAGAGCAGCUGUGACAGGAAAACUAAAGACAAAGAACACAUCAGAGAAAAGUCACCUAAGGAUGCAAAAUCUUAAGGAAAUCCUAAAUACAGGAAAAGAAGAAGUUAGAAAUGAAAACACCUGUUUUUACCAUCUUAAACUACAAAAAAACCACUGUCACCUUUGCAGACACAACACAUGAGCCUGUAGGAUGUGGAUGUGAAGGAAUAAAGACUACCUAAUCUCACCUGCAUGGAAACUGUGAAAAUACCUGGAAAAUCUGGAGGAUACUGAGCCGAGCAUUUAUUAGGAAGAUUGCCACUGAUUCUGAGUAGAAACAAAGAAAGAGUUCCAUUCAAACUUAAGUGAAGAGAAAUAAUUCGGCAACUUCAGAAGUUUACAUAGCAAUACAGAGAAGCACAGAAAGGAGUCAAAUAGUUCAAAGUACAAUAUAAGUUUGAAAAGUACUUUUUUUUUUAAAUUUAUAAUGCAUUUUCUUCAGUUGCCUGUGCUCAUCCUUUUGUGUUCAGCUUAAGACAUUUGUGCAAACAAGCUUCUUUAACAUUUUGUGAACAAACACAGAAAUUGCUAGAUUUUUAUGUCUCCACAUGCACAUGGUUUCGUUCAAUUUAUUCAAGCACUCACCCUCUCAGAAAGUAAGAACAAUUUUGUCCAGCAAGCAAGAACUACAGACAGGUCCCGAGUGAUUAACGGAUGCCUUUGAAGAACCUUUUUCUGGUGAAAACUUGUCAGCAGAAGAUGUGUUUGUCGGACUCCUGACUGCAGCAUAUUUCUUCCUUGAGCCACACGAAGUAGGAUGAAGGGCAGAGGAGAUAGCGAUUUGGGAUAAACCUGGAGCACUGGGACUACAGUUCCAGCCCAAAGCCUAACUUGAAGGAGGGGAUAUGACAGUCUGAAAAGGAACAGGAGGACAAAUCCUUUCUUCUUCUAAUGUAUGCCCAGAUUUGGAACUUAGAAAGACCAAUAAAGGCAAGCAGUAGCUAAGUACAGGCAGGAAAAGGCAAUAACAACUCAUUUGAAGCAAUUACAAAUAUCAGAGCUAAAUCAGAAAAGCCCUACCAGUGAAAGACGGCUGAUCUUUUGAAAUGCUCCUGAAAAAUCCCUGCAAAAUAGGCACUAGAAAGUUGGCUUUGAAUCUGCUAGACUUACAGAGAAACACCAAAUUAUUGCAUCACAUAUAGACUCCUUACCUAAUGCAAUACAAGUCAAUGUAACACACACAAGUAUUCCAUAUUUCCUCAUCCAAAACUCUACAUUUCCCUGUCAUGUUUCAGGGUUUGCAUCCUGUAGCACAUGAUUCCUACAUUUUCCUUAAUUUUAGAAACCUAGCAACCUAGUCAUACUAGCAACCUCUCUUCUGUCUGAGAAGGAUAAGGCGUUGUUUUAACCAUCGACACUGCUCAGCGCUAGGAAUAAAGCUGGAUGAAAUGAACAUUCUACCCCUAGGGGAUAUGGAUUGGAGCUGGAAUGCCCAAGUUGCAUACAGAGUUGCCAUGUCCUUCUGUCCUUCCUGAGAGCUGAUGCAUGUAGAAACUGAUUAUAUUGGUAGAAAGGGAUUAGCAGACACCACACUAACAGAUCAUGCUUUCUGAAGGUUCUAGAGGAAAAACUAAGGAGAGAUAGAGAGGUUCUGGAGACCAAAUUUAGUGGAAUUGAAUUCCCUGCUUUUUCAGUUUGCCUAACAGUGAGAAAAAGUAUAGUGAAAUAGGUAUCUUAACAGGGUCAAAAAUUGUCUGAGCUCUCCCAAACAAGCAGCUUCAGAAAAACAAAAUCGUGGAAAAUGCACAGUAAGAACUUGAGAAUUUAUCAAGAUGAAUACAGAAAACUGAUCUGACACUCUGUACUUAAAAAUCUUCUAUAUUCUGGCUUCUGAUUACAAAUUAUUUAAAAAGUGUUUGGAAAACAUCAUCACUUGUGGCAAAAAAAUCUGUAUCUCUAAGGAGAUCACAGAUUUGUAGACAGUAUCCUAAUUUAUUAUCUCAGCAUACCACCUCAGGGGUACCCAGCUGCUGGCAAAAGUGAUUUUAAGAUUUUAUUCACCCAGUUUUCUUUCAUUUUUUUUUCCUCCAAAUAUGAUUCAAUAGGUUUGACUACCCUUCCUCCAGGCAGCUCCCAGGAGAGCUAGUGAAGACAGCAUGGUACGGCAGGGUCUGCAGAACCACACCAGUAGCCUCAGACACUCUCAGCAAUUCAGCCAGACAACUAGUAUCUAAAUUCAAUAAUAUUCACAAUCUUCCACCUGAUGACUGGUUUUCACCAUGGAGAACUCCAGGGAUGGUCACUUGCUGGUAAGCCCACCUUUUAGUGCUAGUACUCAGUCUAGGCUUCAGCGACUACCUAUUCAAAGCUCUCGAGACGCGCCUACCCUGGCAGGAGCAGAGAAGCACUGUACACAUCAUCCAGCCCUUUGGCAGGUUGUGUCCCCAGUGCUGGGGUUUGGGAAGCAUCAGUACAGCUUAUUUAGGUUCCAGCUGAAGUUUCUCAAUUCCCAGUGUAAGAAAGCUGUGACCACCCCAGUACUGGUUAUUAGAGAAGCUCUCUCAUUCAAAGUCAUUAAGUAUUCUUGCAGGUCAAGCACUGGCAAGGUAGACGAGCAACGUUACAAACAUUACAUUUUCAGGAUCUAAUUCAUGUGAUUCUCUCUACUGCUAUCUAUUACUUAUAUGAUACAACUGUUUUUAUAGCAAAGUAGGGCCAGUAGGGACUACUUAAUUGGGAUAGUCUAACAUACAGACAAUUGUUCAAACCACAAAUUAUCUAAAUUUUGUAUAGGUAGAGAUGGAUCUUAAGAGCUCUAUAGGCAUCAGAGCUGUUAAAAAACUUCUAAGGGGGGCUUUGGGAACUAGAUGGGCAUAGUCAGAAAAUCCAGAAAUUCACAACGAAGAACUCUCCCAGUUCACUUUAACAUUGCGAUAAACUGCUCAGCCUGUGAUUUUUUCCCUUUUUGUUACUAGUGGGGCUGAAAGUGUUUCAGAAGGGAGAUACUUGGAAAACUUGGUCAAGCAUGUUGUUGGGAAGUACUAUUGUAUAGUCAAAUUUUCCUGCCAGGGCCCUCCUGCUUGAUGCUACAACACUAUGUUUGCAAGCUACAUGCUUAUUUAUUUCCGUGUGUUACAUUUGGACAUCAUGUGCAUAUAGUGUGUGUAUAUAUAUAUAUAUAUACACAUAUGUGCAUAUAUAUAUAUACACAUACUUUUAUGACACAUCUACUGAAACGAAGGGAUCUCGGGAAGAGAGAAACUUUAAAAUAUCACAUUUACAGAAGAAGAAAAGAUAAAAACUUCCAAAAAACUUAAUUCUAUAUGCUUUUUAAUUGUUCCUUUCACCAAGGUAAAAGUGCUUUCACUAUACUCAACCUAUUAAAGUCUGAAGACAUCCUUGGUGUUUACUUCUAGUUCUAAUCCAGCUCCUUUGUUACUGAACCAGUUCAGAAAAGCAUUUAAACAUACACUUAAGUACAUUCUUAAUGUUAAAUGACUUCCUGAAUCGGUCUAAUAAUUUAAAGUAAUAUUAAUAAACAUUAUUUAAUAAACAAUUCCAUUUAAUAUCUGUUAACAAUGCAGUGCUGCUCUCAUAUUCUUUCACGUUUCCCUACUUUUACUACUAAUAGUAGUACCAGUAAUCAGAUGCAGAAAGUUGCUUCAUGCUUUUGAUAGUCAAGGCUUAAUGGCUUUGAAGAGGCUCAUUUUCAGAAGCAGACCACUUCAGAAAAUCAGGUUCUUGACCCUACAUCAGUAAUUUUUUGGGCAAACUUGACUUGCUCCUCUAGGUAAACUCUUAUAUCCAUAGCAACACACAAAGGCUUCCAGUUGGACUCUGUGGUUUUGUAACUAUUGCCUUGUGAAUAGUUGUUGGAAAUGAUCACAGCUGGUAUGUGCAUAUGAUCAUGCACACAUCUCUGUGUGUGUGUGUGUGUGUGUGUGUGUGUGUGAGGUACAAAGUGAUGUUUGCAAAUACAAAGUGUCCUGUCUUCUUCUCUUUCCUCAAAUCUCAGUCAGACAAGUUUCCACGAGUAAAUAGAUUUUCCUAAAACACUCUCCACCAAAUAUCUUUCUUUUCCGCAAAAAGCACGUGUGUUAAAUUCACUAAUGGGACAAAUUCUGUGGCCAAGUGCUUCAGCAGUGGUACAGCAGAACAACUGUGGAGACAGUGCAGGAGGGAGAAGGACGAUACACCAGCAUUGCACUCUGAUGCCAACCCAAUGAUCCCGGGUGUGCUCCAACACAGGGUUGGGUAUUACUGUUCCUGACAGUAUGAGGAUGAGAGCAUUUCCACUUUCUCCAUCAAUUACCCCAGCCACGCACCCCCUCUCUCCCACUACUCUCUCAGCUCUGGAGCUGCAAUGGGAAUCUCCUGUUUCAAGGCCUACUCAUAACCUUCAGGGCGCCAGUGAAAUCCAGAAAUUUUUCUCCUAUAUUUCAGCAAAUGCUACCACAAGUUGUACUUGCACAAGGACAAAAACACAAGGAAGAAAUAAGCAACAGGAAACUGUGUAAGGGGAUGGGAAAAAAACAACACUGUUACUGUUUUUGGCACAUAAUGCCUUUUAAUACAAAGCUUGAUAACUGGUCACACUUUACAAUGGCCCAGGAACUACCCAGAAGCUCCUAAGUGGCAUAAUUUAACAAAUGCCCUGAAGAAUAGGCUUAGUUCAGAAGUGCUCUGAAGAAAAAAAAAUUGAAAUGCAUUUGAUAUGUAAAUCUAACCAGCAAGCAGAGCUGCUUACAGAGCCAUACAAAAGGGAUUUAUCCUCUUUUAGAUUCCUGGCUUUAUAAUGGCAGUGGUGAUCUUAGGGACAUCCCUAGUCAACUUCAGAACUCCAUAUUUGGUAUAAAUAUGCUAGCUUAAUAAAGUGAGGCUGACGAAAAGAAAUUGAAAAAAAAAAAGUGCUAAGAUUUCCAAAUUCAUCCUUUUUUCAUAUCAGAGAAAAAAAUUACACUUCUCAUAUGUUACUGGGGAUGGUGUGUGAAGUGGGAUGAAGCCACCAUACAGACAUACACACACCCAAGAGAGCAUCUUCCUCCUGCAGUCUUGCUGCUACAAUUUUCUCAAACCCAAAACAGCCUCUCUCCUCUCAGAAGUGGAAAAGAAACAUACCAUUCCAAACCAUGGUUAGUCUGAUGUUGUAGCUACUCAUGUAGCCUCUCCUGUGACAAGGACAACAUUUGGCAAGUCCUUGUCUCUCGAGAAGCUGCGUUUAGUUUGUGGCACUGCCACAAAAGUAGACUGUAAACACAGAACUUCUACUUAACACACCAAUAAAAAUCCCAACCUAAAAAUGUUCCAGAUGACGUUGAUCCAAUAUUCCUCCUACACACACAAAGCCUAAGAUUGCCAUAAGGACUGCUCUUCAUUAAAUUUUCAUUAAAUGGACUGUUACAAUAAAUAAGCAAAUUACUUCUUAGAACCACAGCACACGGUUCCAGUCAGAAUAAUGCAGAAGGUAUGACUUGUAUCAGGCAGAUUUUCAAUCCUAUUACCAAAACUAUCAAUCAUGUCUUGUCUAACAAGAAUCCUUCAACAUUAUCAUUUCAGUGUUAUUUAUACAAUUUAUAAUUUAAUACACAUUAUAAUUUAAUGUUACAAGGAAUGCAGAUUGGCUUUAAGUUGUCUUCUUUAUGCAGAAGAAAUUUUGUGUUGAUGUACCUGUAUGCAUCUCUACUGACUUCAGUCAAAUUUGCAGGAAGAUGUAAACAAGAUAAAUGUUGUCUGGAGUAACAUGAGCUAACCAAAGCCUCACUUGUAGACUAAGGGUCUAUUUCCCAGCUUCUUUUGGUCUCAAAAAGACAGAAAAAACAAUAUUCCUCUCAUAUUUUCAUGGAAGAAGCCUCUGAGCUGGAGUUAAAAUUCUCAGUCAAAACCAAAGAAAGUACUUGCCUCAGAGAUGUUCUUCAGCUUUACUGGCAAACUCAAUCAGGAAACCUCCUCAGAUGAAGGUCUCAGAGGCAAAGCAUUAGUUAUCCCUCUAGCCUAAAAUAUCUAGUUAAUCUCAUACAAAACCACUAAAAUCUGUCUAUCAGAUAUGUUGAGAACACACAGGUUUAUAGGCACUACAGAUUUACAGUGCUUAUGCACAGGGCCUACUCGCAUUCUCUGGAGAACAGUUUUUUGAGGAGAAAAAGUAAGACAGUCUCCUGCUGUGGAGCUGAGAUAAGUUUCAUGUAUAAGCCAACAAAAUUAGAGCAGCAUUUGCAUUACCUUAAUUUUCCCAGUAUUGACCCCUUGCCUUUGAGCAUGGGAAUGCAUGGCUAGGUUUUUGUUGUGAUUGGCUUGUAUAGACUGUGAUAUCUUGUAGAUCAUCAGCUCUCUAGCUGGCUACUGAUGGGAAAAACUGUUUUCUUGUCAAUCCCCUGUGAGUCCUGCAGUUUAUCAUAGCAUGUGUCAAUAGGAUAACUCUGUCAAAUGUUUCCAGUGAAAAAGUGGAAAAAUACCUGUAAAACAGCUUGAGCACACACUUCAACUCUUUUAGUUGUGGAAGGUCCUUCAAAGCCAAGGUCUCUCCCUGCUAGGCACUGCAUGUGUGGGUUACUCUUAAGGGCCUCUUGACUGCUGUCUUUAGAUGAAAAAAUAUAUAAAAUUUAAAAUUUGUGAGGAGUUGAAAGAAAUUAUGGUAAGUAGCAAUUACAACCCAGUUCAUUUAUAGUCCUUGUAAGGUUACUUUGAGAUGUCACAGAAGAUACAUGCCCUCUUGCUUGUACAUCUGAGGAACAGAUCUAGAUCAGUGGGAUUUCAGUGCAGGAGAGUGACCAAAGUAGAUAAUGUGGUCUUGCAUUGCUCACCGACUUCUCAUCCCUUUUUGAUUAAACCAAUUCAUUUCCAGUCCUCUCCUUUCACUUCACCUGGCUUCCACCUGUUGAGUUCUGAUUGAUUUAAAGAUGUACUUGAGCAUCUAAUGCAUUCAUGGGGUGUAAUAUUCUCAGGGUAAAAUAAUUCCUAUUUUUAAGACUAUGGGAGAAGCAAAAGCCCCCUUUAAAACAAACAAACACAAACAUAAAAAGAAAAUAAACCCCAAGAUGUAAUCCACCACACUCAGUUUCUGUAAGAGCUGAGAUCACAGUCUCAGCUGAAAGAAAGCAUUGGCAGGCAGGCAGGUAGGAACUAAACUUGUACCUCCUUUCCUUACACUACAAAGUGAUUACCCCAUUUAAUUUAACUUGACAAAUCCCGUAAUUGUUAACCUUAAUGGGUCUUUAUAUGGCCUAUCCUUUCUCAGAGAUAAAAAUAAGGGUAAUAGAGAUGGACAUGGCAACAGAUUGGAGAGCCAGGAAGGUUUUCGCAUGCCAGUACCCUAGGAUGAACCAUCACAAUGCAGCACUACGGACAUGAGCUUAGACAUUUUCUAGGGAACCUAGAGCUGAGGGAGACAUUUUGUCUUAAGGGUAAAACAAAACCAACUAUGUAUGGCAGUCUUUGUAAAAUUAAAACAAAUUAAAAAUGUUCAGUGUCACGGUUUCCUGGGGUGAUUAUGAAACUACAGUUUUCCUGAGAGGUAAAAGGAACAUCCUCCACUCAGUUCUGUAGUUUAUCAUUUGCAUGAAAAGACAGAGAUAUUAGUCUUACCUAGACUUGGUGCCCCAAAAGGAGCAAUUCAUUCUCCCACCUACCUCUUGGGGAAGAACCUUUUCCCAGAGGUUCCUGUCUCUCUCUACCUGCUCUAGAGGAGCUCCAGCUCAGGCUGAGUGGUUUCUAGGCAGCUCAGGCCUGGCAAGGUGGAUCCCAGUUUCCCUAACCCCCAACCCUAGGGUCACAUCUAGGUGUAAAGACUUCAAGAUUCAGGGCCAUUACACUGGGCACAAAUAUAGGAAGAUGCACUUUAGAUUCCAGGGACAGAAGCUUAGUAUAUCUUCUAGUGCAAUUUCUAAGCUGACAGUGCUGUCUUUGCUGCUUUAACAGCUUUUAUGGAGAUGUGGUCUCUGCAGCUACUGAUAGGACAAGAACAAUUUUCUUGGUAUUGCAUUCACAGCACUUCCUUUAGAGGAAUUAUGUCUUUUCCUGGUUUAAACAAAUAAAAUAGCAUUUGGGCUACAUGUUUCAGAUGAUUAAAACACAUUCAUUUGUGAUACUGCUUAUUCCCUGCAAGAGGGAGUGAAUUUUUCGGAUUAUGCACAUAGCUAAAAACCCAUAAAUUUUGUUAUUCAUAUCCAUAAGCAAUAUGGCAAGCUCGCAAAAGCUAUUACUUUUCAGUUACACAAGUGUGUUAAAUUACUCAGUCAACUGACAUCUGGCAUGAACUAUAAAUUGCUCUCAAAAUUCUUUUAGAAAGAUUAUUAUAUUAUUAUUAAUUUGCUGUGUAUGUCAAAGCAUAUCACACACACAGCAAUCCUGAAAUUAAUUAGCAUUUUCAAGGAUCACGCUGAAAAGGCCCAGAAAGCCAGCGGAAAUAAUCUCCAAGAUACUAGCAGGUUAAGCAGUGCUGGCACAACUUGUCUUCAACGUAUUUCCUUCAAUUCAUCUUUAAGAAUAAAACACAAGAAACCUUUUUUAAACAAGCCCUUUGUCACACAUAUCC